UACAGAGGGGGCAAGCGUUAUUCGGAAUUAUUGGGCGUAAAGGGCGCGUAGGCGGCUUUUCAAGUGACGGGUGAAAUCCCUCGGCUUAACCGAGGAACUGCCUGUCAGACUGGAAGGCUUGAGACCGGGAGAGGUGAGUGGAAUUCCCAGUGUAGCGGUGAAAUGCGUAGAUAUUGGGAGGAACACCAGUGGCGAAGGCGGCUCACUGGACCGGAACUGACGCUGAGGCGCGAAAAGCGUGGGGAGCAAACAGG
rnacentral:rRNA from 1 species